GACGAACGCUGGCGGCGUGCUUAACACAUGCAAGUCGAACGGAAAGGCCCUGCUUGCAGGGUACUCGAGUGGCGAACGGAUGAGUAACACGUGGGUGAUCUGCCCUGCACUUCGGGAUAAGCCUGGGAAACUGGGUCUAAUACCGGAUAGGAGCCAUUUUUAGUGUGAUGGUUGGAAAGUUUUUUCGGUGUAGGAUGAGCUCGCGGCCUAUCAGCUUGUUGGUGGGGUAAUGGCCUACCAAGGCGGCGACGGGUAGCCGGCCUGAGAGGGUGGACGGCCACAUUGGGACUGAGAUACGGCCCAGACUCCUACGGGAGGCAGCAGUGGGGAAUAUUGCACAAUGGGCGCAAGCCUGAUGCAGCGACGCCGCGUGGGGGAUGACGGCCUUCGGGUUGGAAACUCCUUUCGCUAGGGACGAAGCUUUUUGUGACGGUACCUAGAUAAGAAGCACCGGCUAACUACGUG
rnacentral:rRNA from 1 species